UGAGAUGUGUUCUUUUUACCGCAGUCUGAAAUAAAUUUGAACCAUGGUCAAUUCGUUCGCGCUAAUCUGAUAACCACAGAAGUGGAGUUUCUAUUCAAUUAGUUUCUCAAUCCACUGGAAUAAUAUUUGUUUUAGGAUGGCUGAAACUGCCAUUUGCUGAUAUGAAUAAUGGUGGUCUUCGUUAUGGGAGUGGGUUGAUUGUGGAUGGAAAUUAUAAAAUUAAAGUUCACGUUAACCCCUUCGUUCAGAAUCAAGGGUCAAUUGAAGGUAUCUAUGUCCGUGUCGUGGGAAAUUUUGUCGAAAUCAAAAUGGUAUUCCUUUCGUAUCCGUGGACAACAUUCAGGAUGUAAUUCUUGUGCCAAACAGACCGAUUCUUACAACGGUAGAAUUGAGUAUAUUAGGUCACAUGACUCCUUAAGUUAUAGCGACUUUCCGCUUAAAAAAAUAGCGAUGGUGCAAUUUUUACAAUUGCACCGAUUUUGACUAUGUGUCCAGUACUAUAAGUAUAUUUAUGUGCCAAGUAUUUUAUGUUUUAAAAUCAUCUACGUGUUACGAAGUGUUUGUACUUUUUCUUAUUUUAGAUUGAAAACAUUUUUUUUUUUAAUUUUUAAUUUCCGACAAAAAUUUAAUUGAUCUUUAU